rnacentral:lncRNA from 1 species
AUUUCUGUAAAAAACUUUAUUAAUAUUUGUUAUAAAUAUCAAUUUUAUUCAGAAAUCUUUUCUUCCUUAAAUAUACAUGGUAAAACUGCUGUUUUAAAUGCCUAGUUUGUGUACAGAUAACCUACACAAGGUCUACGUUGACUAUCGACUGUAGACAAAACGUGAUCUAAACGACAUGUAAACUUUGAGUUUUAUCAAUGGGAACGUAAUUGUGUUUGGUUUAUGUGUGUUUUACGCUAACACAAUACCGAGUUUAGGUUAGUGUGAACACGUCCUUACAUGUGAAGUUUAACCUUUUCAAUCAUCACUAAGAUAUAUAUUUGUAUCUAUUAUCCAUAUAACAUGAUAUCUAUUGUUAGCUAUUUUUCAAAUUAGUAUGAUUUUCAAGUUGAUAAAAUAAAAUAAAAAGCA